CCUACGGGUGGCAGCAGUGGGGAAUAUUGCGCAAUGGGCGAAAGCCUGACGCAGCGACGCCGCGUGAGGGAUGAAGGUCUUCGGAUCGUAAACCUCUGUCAGCAGGGAAGAACGGUCACUGUGCUAAUCAGCAGUGCAUUGACGGUACCUGCACAGGAAGCACCGGCUAACUCCGUGCCAGCAGCCGCGGUAAGACGGAGGGUGCGAGCGUUAAUCGGAUUUACUGGGCGUAAAGCGCUCGUAGGCGGGAUGUCAAGUCAAGGGUGAAAUCCCCGCGCUCAACGUGGGAACUGCCUUUGGAACUGGGAAACUGGAGUGUGUGAGAGGAUAGUGGAAUUCCAGGUGUAGGAGUGAAAUCCGUAGAUAUCUGGAGGAACAUCAGUGGCGAAGGCGACUAUCUGGCACAUAACUGACGCUGAGGAGCGAAAGCGUGGGUAGCAAACAGGAUUAGAUACCCGAGUAGUC
rnacentral:rRNA from 1 species